rnacentral:rRNA from 2 species
UGGGGAAUUUUGGACAAUGGGCGAAAGCCUGAUCCAGCAAUGCCGCGUGUGUGAAGAAGGCCUUCGGGUUGUAAAGCACUUUUGUCCGGAAAGAAAUGGCUCUGGUUAAUACCUGGGGUCGAUGACGGUACCGGAAGAAUAAGGACCGGCUAACUACGUGCCAGCAGCCGCGGUAAUACGUAGGGUCCAAGCGUUAAUCGGAAUUACUGGGCGUAAAGCGUGCGCAGGCGGUUGUGCAAGACCGAUGUGAAAUCCCCGAGCUUAACUUGGGAAUUGCAUUGGUGACUGCACGGCUAGAGUGUGUCAGAGGGGGGUAGAAUUCCACGUGUAGCAGUGAAAUGCGUAGUGAUGUGGAGGAAUACCGAUGGCGAAGGCAGCCCCCUGGGAUAACACUGACGCUCAUGCACGAAAGCGUGGGGAGCAAACAGG